CCUGUCAACUCAUUCAUUCAUUCACCAGUGGUUAUUGAUACCAAAUAGGUACCAGAGGAUGUUCUAAAUUUCUGUAAAGGAGUGGGAGGCAAGGAGAGUAUAAAAAGGAAGGCUGGAUCACCUUUGGAGAUUUGUCAGGAUAAAAACACCUGGACCCCACCUCACAACCAGUGAACCAUCACCUUCCUUGUAGCAGCCAUGCCUCCAUCCAAGGAACAAGGGCAGGCAGAAAAGUGAAAGAAAGCUUUCCUAGCAUCUGAUGAAAGGAUGAAAUAUGGAUGGCUGCUAACCCUAAGGAUUUCCCACUAGAGGCAUCAUUUGGUGGCAAGUCUGUUUACUACAUUUGCAAGAAGGGACAGGAAGCAGACAGAGGCAACAGGGCUUCUAAGGAACGGGCGUAUGUUUCCAGACAUCACUCAGCUGAGAGUAUAUUUCCUACCGGAGAUGUUUAUAAAAUGCUUCCCGUCACUGAGGCGCAAAGCACAGGGCUCUGGCAGAGCGUGUGUGGAAUUUUCAAAGGGAAAUUAGGUUCCUGCCAAAUUGGACCAUCAUUUUUUUUUUCCCUGAACAUUUCCCACCUCCUCCCAUUUCCUAGGCUUUGAUCCACCUCUUUCUGCCAUCGGUAGUGCCACCACCUCAUUUCUACUUGUCAGAAGUCCAUAAAUUCACUGAGCCACGGUUUUUAAAAAACCCUGUCAAAAAUACUGGUCUAAGCCUGCUCUGACCCCCACCUUAAUACACUGUCUUCUUCCUUCAAUUUCACCACUGCAUUUGCCAGGAAGGAGCUCGGGUGGCCGCGUGGCUGAAGGACAGGGGGACCUCAUGGUGCGGGCAGGCAGUGAGGAGAUUACAAACAGGCCUGGUAGUUUCAUUCCAACACCAGUGGAGGCUUCCCUUGGCUCCCCUCGCCAUUCAGCUGUGACUCAGAGGAAUCUCCUUGGCUGUGAGAGGGCUUGUGACCUGCACAUCUGCUCGUCAUUUACCUACUGUGGAUCUGCUGGGCUGGUGAAGAACUGGUUCCUGCUUCUUCUGCCUUAUUCUGUGAUAUGUGGAGAGAAAUUGCUCCUGUUAAUUUGACUCCAUCCCUGGCUUUGCUCCUGUCAAAUCGGAUGCAUGGAAAUCCUCCAGAAUGUACCAUUCCCAUGGCUCUCACCAUCUUGUUUGCUCCUCCUUCCUGCGGUCAAUACAUCCCAGGUGCCACCUAUGUACCUGCUAAUUUUUACUCCCAGCUGCAAUGAGUCACUUGAAGUUUUAGUCUAUAAAACAAAUGAAAAAAGAGAAAGUUACUGAUGCAUGGGAUAGAGGAUGUGAUAUUGAUUGCUUUUAGAACAAAGAAAACCUGCUUACAGGUAUCCCAGUAAGAGUGUGAUUGGCAGCUUCUGCAAAUACCCUGCGUCUCCAAAGUCAGAAACACAAUGAAAGAGAGAGAAAAAACCUUAUGUAACCAUAACAGUGCCCAUUAUUAGUCUCUUAAAAUAACCCAGCACUUUACUAAGAUUUUGUGUAUAAUGAUAUCUUAUUAUUAUUUUAAAGGUCUUUUUUGAGGUGGACCAUUUUUAAAGUCCUUAUUGAAUUUGUUGUAAUAUUGUUUUUGUUUUUUAUGUUCUGGUUUUUUGGCCAUGAGGCAUGUGGGAUCCUAGCUCCCCGACCAGGGAUUGAACCCACUCUCCCUGCACUGGAAUGUGAAGUCUUAACCAGUGGACCACCAGUAGUCCUGAUAUAUUAAAGCAACUCUCUGGGAUAGGAGUAACUGUCCUCAAUUUACAGAUUAGGGAAUAUAAGACUUAGGGAAAUUAAAGAUACUAAUAAGUAGCAGAGCUGAAAUUCAUACUCAGGAAAGUCUGACUCCAGUACUACUUAUCCUUCCAACCAGCAUUUUCUUGCUUCUUAUUGGACUUUCCUCUUCUAGAUCAGGUCCAUGCUUGUGCUUUACUCAGUGAGAUUUCUCGGAAUCUGGAAAAUGGUGUUUGAUAUAUUUCAGGCUCUGUGAUAAUUCUGUAUGUUAAUGAUUAAAAUAUAUGAAUCAACUGAACUGCAAGCUGCUUACUAGCUGCCAUCUUUCUCUCUCUACAGCUGACAUUAGAAAAAUAAAGCUAUAAAAACAGGUUUAAAUUUUUAAAUUAAAAUCCACAUUUCUGUACUAUAGAAUACCUCACUGCUAUGCUUUAUUUCAAUAGAUGAAGGUAUUUUGAGUAUUUUCAAUUGAUACGGCAACUUUUACUUGAAAAUUCUACUAUCUCUAGGUCAUUCAUAGAUCAUAAAACCAUUUUGAUAAGCAGGAGAAUUAAUAAACGAUGCUCAUGCAAUUUGAAAUUUAAAAUUUUGAGUUCUCUGAUAUGUUAAAGUCUUUCUCUGUUUGUUAAGAGGGAAUAAAAUCAAACUGUGAUUUUUUCCAAGACAAGAAUGAGGCUUAAAUGUCUUGAGUCCUUUUAAGUGUCUCCUCUUCCAUGUUAUCUCCUAAGUCCAUUACAGUAAUUUUUUUUUUUAAGUCUAUGUGCUUAAAUAUAUCACUUGGACCUCUGGAAGUACAGUAUUGACUUCAGCCAGUAUAACUUUGUAUGUUACUCCUGUGGUUAUCAUCCAUGUAUAGGACUUAUCUUCUUGUACUGGGAUCUUUGCAAUUAUCAAAACAUACUGAUAUCUGUAUAUCAUUUGACUUUUGUAUAUCAAAGCAUAUACAAGUGCAGUAUUGUACUGCUCAUUGUAUUUAUCUAGGGAGUUUUUUUUUCACUUUCUGAAGGGAAAACACAGGUCUAGUCUCACAUCCCAUGGAAAGUGUUUGUUCUUUGAAGUCAACUGGAAUCACAUCUGCUCCAUUGAUUAAUCCUAACAAGUUACCCAACCUAACUAAUCUUUAGUUUCUUAUUCUCUGAGGGGAGUCUCAAAGGUUGCAAUGAAAUUAAAUGACUUGAAGUAUGCAAGUAAAUGUUCUCAUUUCCCUGUCCACAACUGGACCCCUGUCGAACUUUAUGAUUUCGUUUUCCAAACUACUGUCCAUGCAGUACCUACCACUUUUCAAACAAGUUUUGUUUUUCCCUGGUUCUGUGCAUUUUAUUCUGUGUUCUCUCUGACUGGCAUGUACUUUCAGAAGACA
ensembl:lncRNA